rnacentral:rRNA from 1 species
AUUGAACGCUGGCGGCAGGCCUAACACAUGCAAGUCGAGCGAGCGGCGGACGGGUGUGUAAUGUCUGGGAAACUGCCUGAUGGAGAGGGGUAAAUACUGGAAACGGUAGCUAAUACCGCAUACCCUCAGAUGUGCCCAGAUGGGAUUAGCUCGUAGGUGGGGUAACGGCGCACCUAGACGACGAUCCCUAGCUGGUCUGAGAGGAUGACCAGCCAGACUGGAAAUGAGACACGGGCCAGACUCCUACGGGAGGCAGCAGUGGGGAAUAUUGCACAAUGGGCGCAAGCCUGAUGCAGCCAUGCCGCGUGUGUGAAGAAGGCCUUCGGGUUGUAAAGCACUUUCAGCGGGGAGGCGUUACCCGCAGAAGAAGCACCGGCGAACUCCGUGCCAGCAGCCGCGGUAAUAC